rnacentral:rRNA from 1 species
UACAGAGGUCCCAAGCGUUGUUCGGAUUCACUGGGCGUAAAGGGUGCGUAGGUGGCAAGGUAAGUUUGAUGUGAAAUCUUCGAGCUCAACUCGGAAACUGCAUUGAAUACUAUCUUGCUUGAGGAUUGGAGGGGGAGGCUGGAAUUCUCGGUGUAGCAGUGAAAAUGCGUAGAUAUCGGAGAGGAACACCAGUGGCGAAGGCGAGUCUCUAGACAACUCCUGACACUGAAGGCACGAAAGCUAGGGGGAGCAAAACAGG